GGAUGAACGCUAGCGGGAGGCCUAACACAUGCAAGCCGAGCGGUAGAAGAUCUUCGGAUCUUUGAGAGCGGCGUACGGGUGCGGAACACGUGUGCAACCUGCCUUUAUCAGGGGGAUAGCCUUUCGAAAGGAAGAUUAAUACCCCAUAAUAUAAUGAGUGGCAUCACUUAUUAUUGAAAACUCCGGUGGAUAGAGAUGGGCACGCGCAAGAUUAGAUAGUUGGUAGGGUAACGGCCCACCAAGUCAGUGAUCUUUAGGGGGCCUGAGAGGGUGAUCCCCCACACUGGUACUGAGACACGGACCAGACUCCUACGGGAGGCAGCAGUGAGGAAUAUUGGACAAUGGGUGAGAGCCUGAUCCAGCCAUCCCACGUGAAGGACGACGGCCCUAUGGGUUGUAAACUUCUUUUGUAUAGGGAUAAACCUUUCCACGUGUGGAAAGCUGAAGGUACUAUACGAAUAAGCACUGGCUAACUCCGUGCCAGCAGCCGCGGUAAUACGGAGGGUGCAAGCGUUAUCCGGAUUUAUUGGGUUUAAAGGGUCCGUAGGCGGAUCUGUAAGUCAGUGGUGAAAUCUCAUAGCUUAACUAUGAAACUGCCAUUGAUACUGCAGGUCUUGAGUAAGGUAGAAGUGGCUGGAAUAAGUAGUGUAGCGGUGAAAUGCAUAGAUAUUACUUAGAACACCAAUUGCGAAGGCAGGUCACUAUGUUUUAACUGACGCUGAUGGACGAAAGCGUGGGGAGCGAACAGGAUUAGAUACCCUGGUAGUCCACGCCGUAAACGAUGCUAACUCGUUUUUGGGUUUUCGGAUUCAGAGACUAAGCGAAAGUGAUAAGUUAGCCACCUGGGGAGUACGUUCGCAAGAAUGAAACUCAAAGGAAUUGACGGGGGCCCGCACAAGCGGUGGAUUAUGUGGUUUAAUUCGAUGAUACGCGAGGAACCUUACCAAGGCUUAAAUGGGAAUUGACAGGUUUAGAAAUAGACUUUUCUUCGGACAAUUUUCAAGGUGCUGCAUGGUUGUCGUCAGCUCGUGCCGUGAGGUGUUAGGUUAAGUCCUGCAACGAGCGCAACCCCUGUCACUAGUUGCCAUCAUUCAGUUGGGGACUCUAGUGAGACUGCCUACGCAAGUAGAGAGGAAGGUGGGGAUGACGUCAAAUCAUCACGGCCCUUACGCCUUGGGCCACACACGUAAUACAAUGGCCGGUACAGAGGGCAGCUACCUAGCGAUAGGAUGCGAAUCUCGAAAGCCGGUCUCAGUUCGGAUUGGAGUCUGCAACUCGACUCUAUGAAGCUGGAAUCGCUAGUAAUCGCGCAUCAGCCAUGGCGCGGUGAAUACGUUCCCGGGCCUUGUACA
rnacentral:rRNA from 1 species